GGGGCUAUGGCUCAGUGGUAGAGCACUUGCCUAGCAGGCAUGAGGCACUGGGCUCGAUCCUUAGCACCA
rnacentral:tRNA from 1 species